rnacentral:rRNA from 1 species
UACAGAGGUCUCAAGCGUUGUUCGGAUUCAUUGGGCGUAAAGGGUGCGUAGGCGGCCAGAUAAGUCCGCUGUGAAAUCUCGAGGCUCAACUUCGAGCUGUCGGUGGAAACUGUCUGGCUAGAGUCCGGAAGAGGAGAAUGGAAUUCCUGGUGUAGCGGUGAAAUGCGCAGAUAUCAGGAAGAACACCCGUGGCGAAGGCGGUUCUCUGGGACGGUACUGACGCUGAGACGCGAAAGCGUGGGGAGCGAACAGG